rnacentral:ncRNA from 2 species
GCAGGCCGCUCUGGAAAGCAGGACCCCACGGUCCUCACCGACGGGGAAAGCCUCGCUGCGCGGGGUGAAGCUCUCAGGUCCCGCGACAGAGGGGGUCCA